rnacentral:rRNA from 1 species
UACGGGGGGGGCAAGCGUUGUUCGGAAUUACUGGGCGUAAAGGGCUCGUAGGCGGCCAACUAAGUCAGACGUGAAAUCCCUCGGCUUAACCGGGGAACUGCGUCUGAUACUGGAUGGCUUGAGUUCGGGAGAGGGAUGCGGAAUUCCAGGUGUAGCGGUGAAAUGCGUAGAUAUCUGGAGGAACACCGGUGGCGAAGGCGGCAUCCUGGACCGACAAUGACGCUGAGGAGCGAAAGCCAGGGGAGAAAACGGG